rnacentral:tRNA from 1 species
GCGUCUAUAGCUCAACCGGAGAGAGCGGGUUGGGGGUUCGAUUCCCUCUAGGCGCACCA